rnacentral:rRNA from 1 species
AGUGAACGCUGGCGGUAGGCCUAACACAUGCAAGUCGAACGGCAGCACAGUAAGAGCUUGCUCUUACGGGUGGCGAGUGGCGGACGGGUGAGGAAUACAUCGGAAUCUACUUUUUCGUGGGGGAUAACGUAGGGAAACUUACGCUAAUACCUCAUACGACCUACGGGUGAAAUCAGGGGAUCUUCGGACCUUGCGCGAUUGAUUUAGCCGAGUUCGGAUUAGCUAGUUUGGGGGGUAAAGGCCCACCAAGGCGACGAUCCGUAGCCUGUCUGAGAGGAUGGUCCGCCAAACCGGAACCGAGACACGGUCCAGACCCCGACGGGAGGCAGGAGUGGGGAAUCUUCCGCAAGUGGGCAAAGCCCGACUGCACAACACCGCGGGAGGUAAAAAGGUCUUUCGAUUUUAAAACCCUUUUUUUAGGGAAAAAAAAAGGGGUAGUUAACUAUCCGCGUCUUGACCGUACCCAAAAAGAAAGCCACCGGUAACUUUGUG